AUAAUCACAUAAGACUUUGAGGAAUCGAAUGUUAUUCGUAAGUCCAAUCACGAGUGCCCGCUUAAGGUCGGCCCAAGUGGUCAAGCCUACGUCAUAAUUUGUGGCAGUGGGGGCUUGCGUUCGCGCAGCCCCUGC
rnacentral:scaRNA from 1 species